GUCUAAGGCCAUACCCUCUGAAUGUGUCCAGUCUUGUCAGACCUUGAAAGCUAAGCAUGGUCCAGGUCCAGCCUGGUUAAUACUUGGAUGGGAGCUCUGGAAGACAAGAUG
rnacentral:rRNA from 1 species